UUCCAACCUGGCUUUAACUAAGACGAUGAAGCUGGAGAGCAAAAGGGAACAAAAAUCUGGAUGGAUGGACCGACCCGGCGCGGAUUAGUUGUUGGUGAAGGCGCUCCUCCAAUGAAAUCUUGUCUGUUCUCUGAUUUGGCGGUUCUUCUGAGCAAAUAUGACAGCCCUUUCUCUAGACGCCUUUCAGUUCCUCUCCACGUCUAUUCCCCAGAGCCCAGCUCUCUAGCCGCAGUUUCUACAUCAGAGCUUUCACAAAUGCCAGCGGCACCACCACCCAGUCCCACUCCUGCAAGUUUAUGAUUACUACAAGGGUGAGGAGAUUUGUUGGGAAGAACACAAAGUUGCUUUUCGAUGGCUGAAGAUGCUUAAGUUCAGUUUUUCCAGGUGUUCUAUUGAAAAUGAAUUCACCUUUGCUUUCCUUAUUCCAUUAUUUCUGGAAUAAGUAGAGUGGUUUGAAUCUCCGGCAGUCACUGUGCUUCAGGAUGAUUGGAGAGUUUCUGCAGACAGAAGGGGCACUUGCAGAAAAAUGCA